rnacentral:lncRNA from 1 species
CUUCCCUGUGCAAACCCUAGCCACCACUUAGGGUUGAAGCUCUUUCGCUUGCCUCAGUUUUGUACUCCAGAAGGUCAAGGAUACUCCUUUCUGUUCUCUUCUCCGAUGCUACUUCACAGAGAUAAGUCUCUUUCAUUGUUUGUUUAACUACUUUCUACCACUUUUACUAUUAAAGUUGUUUCUUUUAUUGCAUCAGGUG